CGAGCUCUUAUUUGAGGAUGGGUAUGUUCCGAUAUACACUGCGAGCACUGUAAGGUGUGUCGUCAAUUUAGUAUACUGCGAAGCCGUUUCUUUAUAGUUAGCUAUACUGGUUACUGCUUAAAACGGAACGCAGUACAGUAUACUGUGAUCGACAUUUUUUGGCGUUACUUUCAUUUCAUACAUAACAUUUGUUUCACAUUGCAAUAAACACAAUUUAUUCAAAUUUUCCAU